rnacentral:rRNA from 1 species
UGUGACCUACGGGGGGCAGCAGUGGGGGAUAUUGCACAAUGGGGGAAACCCUGAUGCAGCGACGCCGCGUGUGGGAAGACGGUCUUCUGGAUUGUAAACCACUGUCCCCAGGGACGAAAAUGACGGUACAUGGGGAGGAAGCUCCGGCUAACUACGUGCCAGCAGCCGCGGUAAUACGUAGGGAGCAAGCGUUGUCCGGAAUUACUGGGUGUAAAGGGAGCGUAGGCGGGGAUGCAAGUUGGGGGUCAAAACUAUCGGCUCAACCGAUAGUUGCACUCAAAACUG